UACGUAGGGACCAAGCGUUGUCCGGAAUCAUUGGGCGUAAAGCGCGCGUAGGCGGCCCGGUAAGUCCGUUGUAAAAGUCAAAGGCUCAACCUUUGAAUGCCGAUGGAUACUGCCGGGCUAGAGUCCGGAAGAGGCGAGUAGAAUUCCUGGUGUAGCGGUGGAAUGCGCAGAUAUCAGGAGGAAUACCCAUAGCGAAGGCAGCUCGCUGGGACGGUACUGACGCUAAGGCGCGAAAGCGUGGGGAGCGAACAUG
rnacentral:rRNA from 1 species